ACCCGGGGAUCCGAUUCCUACGGGAGGCAGCAGUGGGGUAACCGUUCGCAAUGGGCGCAAGCCUGACGACGCAACGCCGCGUGGAGGAUGAAGGUCUUCGGAUUGUAAACUCCUGUUGCCCGGGACGAAUGGCUCCAACCUAAUACGUUGGAGUGUGACGGUACCGGGUGAGGAAGCCCCGGCUAACUCUGUGCCAGCAGCCGCGGUAAUACAGAGGGGGCAAGCGUUGUUCGGAAUUACUGGGCGUAAAGGGCGCGUAGGCGGCCUGCUAAGUCGAACGUGAAAUCCCUGGGCAUAACCCAGGAACUGCGUCCGAUACUGGUUGGCUCGAAUCCGGGAAAGGGAUGUGGAAUUCCAGGUGUAGCGGUGAAAUGCGUAGAUAUCAGGAGGAACACCGGUGGCGAAGGCGGUCACCUGGCUCGGCACUGACGCUCAGGCACGAAAGCGCGGGGACAAACAGGAUUAGAUACCCUGGUGUCCGCGCCCUAAACGAUGUAUGCUUGGUGUUGGACCGCUUGCGGUUCAGUGCCGUAGGAAAUCUGGUAAGCAUACCACCUGGGGAGUACGAUCGCAAGGUUGAAACUCAAAGGAAUUGACGGGGGCCCGCACAAGCGGUGGAUCAUGUGGUUUAAUUCGAUGCAACGCGAAGAACCUUACCCGGGCUUGAAGUGCAGGAAGUACAGAGAUGAAAGUCGACGGACCCGUUAAGCCGGGUUCCUGCAGAGGUGCUGCAUGGCUGUCGUCAGCUCGUGCCGUGAGGUGUUGGGUUAAGUCCCGCAACGAGCGCAACCCUUAUUCUUAGUUGCCAACACGAAAGGUGGGGACUCUAAGAAGACUGCCUGCGCAAGCAGAGAGGAAGGAGGGGAUGACGUCAAGUCAUCAUGGCCCUUACGCCCAGGGCUACACACGUGCUACAAUGGCGUAUACAGAGUGUUGCAAGCUGGUGACAGUGAGCCAAUCACAAAAAGUACGUCUCAGUUCGGAUUGCAGGCUGCAACUCGCCUGCAUGAAGUUGGAAUCGCUAGUAAUCGCGCAUCAGCAAUGGCGCGGUGAAUACGUUCCCGGGCCUUGUACACACCGCCAUCCAUAUGA
rnacentral:rRNA from 1 species